UACGUAGGCGGCAAGCGUUGUCCGGAAUCAUUGGGCGUAAAGGGGGCGCAGGCGGGAACAUAAGUCUUUCCUGAAAGUUCGGGGCUCAGCCCCGUGAUGGGAAGGAAACUGUGUUUCUUGAGCGCGGGAGAGGGGAGCGGAAUUCCUGGUGUAGCGGUGAAAUGCGUAGAUAUCAGGAAGAACACCAGUGGCGAAGGCGGCUUCCUGGACCGCGGCUGACGCUGAGGCCCGAAAGCCAGGGGAGC
rnacentral:rRNA from 1 species